GUCGCUCUGCUCUCGCCCACAUAGCCGUGCUCCAGCCCAGCCUCCAGGGGGGUUAGGGUUUCGUCGAUUCGUGUCGGGCCUCCUCCCAUUUCCUCUUUGCCGUCGUCGCGCGUGGUCCGGUCUGGCGCUCCGAUUCCUCGCCGUGGGUAGGUCGAUUGGGGUCCCUAGGCCUCUCCCGCUCUCCGCCCGCGGGGUACGGCACGGUGCGGAGGUUUCGUCCAGCCCUGGUUUUUCUAAUGCGGUUAACAGGCGCGUUCCUGCAGCUAGGUGGUAGACUGUGGUGCUGUUGGGGGCGGUGAUGUCAUCAUAUAGCAGAGUAAACCUGUAAAUCAUGCCGAUUGCAGUUGAAAUACAUGCCUUGGGAACCACUGUUAUCACACAUUUGGUGAUUUGGAAAUUGGGGCUGUAUAAGCUACUAGUGGGUCGUGAAGCCUUCUUGUUUCCUAUAUAAAGAGUUGUUUCAGAUCCUCGAGAGUUGAGAGACUUGACUCCUUGGAGGUCAUACAAGAGUCUCAAUAAUGCGUUUGAUACCUUGUGCAGCAUCUCUAGCAUCAAUUAUGCUCACUAAGUCCCUAUGAUCUAUUGUAUUUAGCUAUCAUAAUCGUCCUGAAUAACUUAAUUAGGCCUAGUUAUGGAUGCAAUGUGUAUACCAAAUAUAUCACACCGCAAGGAUUUCACUACUACCCUUGGAACAGUCAAGGGGGAGGCAGUGCCACUGGUGGGCAGAACCAUGCUUGCUGAUAACAGGAAAAGGGUAGGCAGGCUGCAGACUGAAGGAUACCUCGCAGCUAGGAUGUGCAUCAUUGUAUACACUGCUGCUGCUUGCCUCCCAGACCUAGCCAUUAGGACCUGCCCAGGCUCCCCAACGCAGGUCCAGGGCAGCACCCCUUGUAAGCUUGGGGUCGUAGUCUGCACGUGCCCAUCGACUGCUCCUGGCAAUUUCGGAUGAACUCAUCAGCUCUUCCUGGAAGAGCACAAGACAACUCCUUUCUUUUACUCUUGCUUUCGCUUUUGUUAAUCAAGUUUCAUGUUUGCAAUGGUCUGGUUGUUUCAUGUUUGUAAUGGUCUGGUUGCAAGGUUGUGCUAUGGAAAAGUGAGCUGUACCCAAAGUGCUAACUGCUGUUGCUGAUUUGAUCCCCAUGUGGUGCCUCGUGCCGCCUGGUUAUCUUUUUGGCGAUGUGGCAUGUUUACAAAGUGUGCCUGACAUCCAGGGCAGUAGCUUCUUUCGGUGGUCUUUGUUAAAUUUGUUAACUGAGUUAUUUACCUGAUAAAGUGGCUUACCCAGUUCCGGCU